CUGGGAUUGAGCCACGGCCCAGAUUCUUACGGGAGGCACCAGUAGGGAUUCUUCCGCAAUGGACGAAAUUCUGACGGAGCAACGCCGCGUGAGUGAUGAAGGUUUUCGGAUCGUAAAGUUCUGUUGUUAGGGAAGAACAAGUGCAAGAGUAACUGCUUGCACCUUGACGGUACCUAACCAGAAAGCCACGGCUAACUACGUGCCAGCAGCCGCGGUAAUACGUAGGUGGCAAGCGUUGUCCGGAAUUAUUGGGCGUAAAGGGCGCGCAGGUGGUUUCUUAAGUCUGAUGUGAAAGCCCCCGGCUCAACCGGGGAGGGUCAUUGGAAACUGGGAAACUUGAGUGCAGAAGAGGAAAGUGGAAUUCCACGUGUAGCGGUGAAAUGCGUAGAGAUGUGGAGGAACACCAGUGGCGAAGGCGACUUUCUGGUCUGUAACUGACACUGAGGAGCGAAAGCGUGGGGAGCAAACAGGAUUAGAUACCCUGGUAGUCCACGCCGUAAACGAUGAGUGCUAAGUGUUAGGGGGUUUCCGCCCCUUAGUGCUGCAGCUAACGCAU
rnacentral:rRNA from 1 species